rnacentral:lncRNA from 1 species
UCAACAUCUACUGGCCCUGUUGCCGGGACGCUCUAUCUAUCAACUGCUCGAGUCGCGUUCUGCAGCGACCGUCCUCUGUGCCAUACUGCUCCUUCAGGGGAGGAGGCCUGGAGCUACUACAAGGUAAAUACAUCGCUAGACACCAAGUCGGAUAGAUUUUACCACAUUCAUAGCUAUUAUUAUAUAUAGUUAAGCUCUGUUAAAUUCCAAACAAAAGGUGAAGUUGAGAGAAAUCGUGCAUCUAUAAAAGGGUAGUUCACGGAGAUACAGCAAAACAAAACUAAAUAUAUUUGGCAAUCAAAGCUCAAACUAAAUUUUCUAUCUUGCUAUAGUCAUCCGUGUAUAUCAUGGUAGUACUUAAUGAAUUCAAUAAUAACUUAUUUUGAGCAGGUUAUGAUACCCUUGGACAAAAUAAGCACAGUCAGCUCGGAGAUCAUGCUGGAAAAUCCAUCAAGGAAGUACAUUCAAAUUGUCAGCACCGAUGGGCACGACUUCUGGUUUAUGGGUUUCGUUAAUUUCGAGAAAGCCUUGCAAAAUCUAUCAGAGAGCGUGUCGAGUUUCAAGGAAGCAGGAAUUGCAAUUCAACCAGUUGUUGCUUAGCCAAUGAUUGCAUUUGGAGUUGAAUCCUUCAAAAUUUUGAUUUUCACUGUUUCUAGUGGAUUUAUUGUUUGUUGCCUGAAGGGAGCUUUCCUUUAGUCUUCCUCUUGUCAUUCUUUUAUUCUUGUCGCACCCUACAUCGCGACAACCUUAAAAAUUUAUCAUGAAAUAAAAUGGAUUUCUGGUAUCCUGUUUUUUAAUGGGGAACGGUUUUGUUUAAGGAGUCGCCACCUAGUAUUAUGGUCACUAGAAACCCUAACUGGUCAACAGAGAUUCUAUGGUACGAGACUGGUUACGUAAAAGGAAAGAUACUAUCACCCCUUAAACGUCCUGCCUGAGGCAGGCUGCAUUGCUGGUUUUGUCAUAAAUUGCUAACAUUUUGUUGGUUUAUGUUAUGAUGGUUUGUGUGUAAUAUUCCUGACUCUGACGCUAGUGAAUAUUUAACUACAGAUAUUUCCAACUCUGGCGUUGGUAAAUAUUACGCGGCUAUAAAAACAAAAUAAAUCUAAAUCAGUAUUUUUUAUUCCUGACUCUGGCGUCAGUGAAUAAACAAAUCAAAUAAAUUUAUUUUUUACGCAUACACAUUUUUUUAUGUAACUAAAUAAAAGUAAAAUACAAUAAAAUAAAAUAAAUUUACAUCAAUAUCUUUAUUCCUGACUCUGGCGUCAGUGAAUAAACCAAUAAAUUUAUUUUAUUUUUGCAUUCAUAUUUUUUAUUUUUAUGUAAUUUAAAUAAAAUACAAUGAAAUAAAUUUGAAUCAAUAUUUUUAUUCUAACUCUAGCAUCAAUGAAAAAAAAAAUUCAUAUUUAUUUUUUUAUUUAUACAUACACACAUCUUUGUUUUUUUGUUUUGUUUUUUUGGACUGGGCUGGACCCAGCCAGCCCGGCCCGGGUCACUGGCCCAAGCCAGUGACCCGGCUGGGCAAAAUGUGGAGCACGCGUGAAGUGAUUUCACGCGUGCAUUCACUGUGCGAAGGUAGUACAGUGUUCUUUGAUCAUUUAAUUUCAAAGAACGCAAAGGGAUGAAGAGCUGGCGUACCUGCUUCUAGAGUGGCGAAGAUGGCUGCAACGCUGGUGGUGACUUUCGCCUGCUUGAUACCUUUACUUCUGCCUUCCCUUUUUGCUCCUGUUUCCACGGUCUGCUUUCGUUUUCCAGCAGAUUUUGAGAUAAUGAAGGAACCGAGAACGAAGGUGCCGGCUUCUGUGGAUACUGAUUUUUGGGUCGUUUUCUGCAGGGAUGAAAGCAAUGGCAGAACCCAUUAUCCUCUCCGUGUUGUUCCUCUGCUUUUCUUUUGUUUCAAUUCGUGCUCUGCCUUCCCCUGUUUUCUGGUUUUUUUCUCUGGGUUUUGCUCCAGUUCUCUCCUCUGGUUCUUUUUUUUCCCCCCUGGUUCUGUUUUUUUCGUCUAGGUUUAGCUUGAGUUUUUCCUCGGUUUCUCCUUCAAACCCCCCUGCUUUUCUUCCUCUGUUUUCUGGGUUUUUCUUCUCUGGUUUUUCGUUUCCCCCCCCCCCCCCCUCUCGCUCUGGGUUUUUCUUCCCCUUUUAUAGAGACCCAGCAGCUUGCCUCUAACCAGUCCUGCCUUUGCAGGACUGUUAUCUUCCACGAACGAGAUCGUGGGCAAGAGACGUGGUCCACGAUUGGAUCUGUUGCAGAUUUUCAGGUCUCCGGUUGAAUCGGGAUGAAGAAGAUCACACGACUGUUCCACCAGCAAUGGCGACGUUUCGGCUAAAAGACACAUUUUCAUUUUGACCCCUGCUUCUUUGGAAAUUCGGCAAUUGGAUCUCUAAGCAAUUAAAAAUUUAUUUUAAUUUUGCCCUUUUGGAUUAAUUUCAAUUAAAUACCUAAAUUAUAACACUGUUUACAAAACAGUCCUUAAUUCCCGGAUUGUUCAAUUUGGCCUUUAAUUAAAUCUUUAACUUUUAAUUCUUUCAAAAUUGAUCAAUUAACUCUCAAAUUUUAUAAUUACAUCCCCAAACUUCAAAUUUUGUGUUGUCUUAACCCCAUUGUCAACUAUAUUUAAUUUUUAUUAUUUUGUUCAAAAAUUGGGUUAAGACAGUUGCCUUCUCUUUAUAAUAUUUACAAUACAAAGACAUUGAAAAAUUUCAUUUUCUUGAGCUUUGUGUGGUAAAUUUAUAAAAAAAAAAUGUAGACAAAUUUUUUUUUGUUUUUGUUUUUUUAAGUCUUGAAAACUUCGAAAACAUAUGACUUUUACAGAGAGAACAGGUCAUUUGGAAGACAGCCCAUUUUUGAUUUUUUUGUUUUUUUUUUUGAAAUGAAUCAAAUUGUUUUGGGCAUCCAGCCCGAUGAUAAAAGAAACGCGAAGAAUUUCGCGAGUGGUCUAAUUGUUCCAGGCGACCUGCCCGAUAAAGAAUAAAACGCGAAAAUGGUUUCGCAAGUGGUCUAAUUGUUCCAGGCGACCUGCCCGAUGAUUGAAAAAUACGAGGAUUUUUCAUGAUGAUCACAUUGUAAUGGGUUACCUGCCCAGAUGGUUACAUUGUAAUGAGUUACCUGCCCAGUGAACAAAUACGAGGAUUUUUCAGGAUGGUACAUUGUAAUGGGUUACCAGCCCAGAUGGUCACAUUGUAAUGGGUUACCUGCCCAGUGAAAAAAUACGAUGAUUUUUUCAAAAGAAGACGUGAUAGGGCUCGAAGGCGCAUUGUUCAAUAGAUGGAAGCUCGAAGGUAAUGAGGGCUCGGAGGCGCGCUCAAAAGGAAAUGAGAGCUCGAGGGCGCACUCAAAAGGAGGUAGGGUUAGGAAAGGCAUUACCUUUAAUGGCCGAGGACUCGAAGGCGCACUCGAAAAGAAAUGAGGUGAGGGCUCAAAGGCGCACUCAAAAGGAGGUAGGAUAGGAAACACACUACCUUUGAUGGUCGAGGGCUCGAAGGCGCGCUCGAAAAGAAAUGAGGUGAGGGCUCGAAGGCGCCCUCAAAAGGAGGUAGGAUAGAAAAUGCACUACCUUUGAUGGUCGAGGGCUCGAAGGCACACUCGAAAGGAGGUAGGGUAGGAAACACACUACUUUUGAUGGUCGAGGGCUCGAAGGCGCACUCGAAAAGAAAUGAGGUGAGGGCUCGAAGGCGCACUCAAAAGGAGGUAGGAUAGGAAAUGCACUACCUUUGAUUGUCGAGGGCUCAAAGGCGCACUCGAAAGGAGGUAAGGUAGGAAACGCACUACCUUUGAUGGUCGAGGGCUCGAAGGCGCACUCGAAAAAAAAAAUGAGAUGAGAGCUCGAAGGCGCACUCAAAAGAAGGUAGGGUAAGAAACGCACUACCUUGGGAAUGGAAAAUGAAAGGUGGUGGAAAAAUACAGAGAUUUUUCAGGUGGCCUAAUUCUCAUUGGCGGCCUGCCCAGGUUGAAAAAUUCUCAAAAGUGAAAAAUUUUCAAAAGCAAUUUCAAUGUUCGCCAUUUCAAGUUGGCCUUCCACUUGAUGAAUUUCGUUAGAAUUUUCUCUUAUGAAAUUUGCAAAACUUAUUGUACAAUGUCUCAAAGUUUAAAUGAUAUGCAUGCAUCUUUACCUGAUUUGAAAUAUAGGCCCCCCAUUUCUUCGUAGUCUUCUUGUUGCUUGGUUGGUGAGAUCUUGUCAUCUUUAUCGUUUGGCUUUCUAGCCCACUCGAGUUAGCCCAUAUAAGUCUUUUUCCAGAUUUGUUUGCACAACUCAAGCUUUGUGGUGCCCAUCGUGACCCACUUGCUUGCUAAAGAUUUUCUGACUCGUCAAAUAAUUUGAGAGGAUCAUUCAUUACCCCUCGUCUCACUGCUAAAAACAUUCGGUGUCACUAGUUGAAAGGAUCAAUCUGUCUUUUAUAAACCAAAAUGCCCCCUUGUCUUGUUGAAGGAAAUUAACAUCUCCUUUUCUAGAAUUUUUCCUUCUAAACACAAUGUUGCCCCCUUGUAUUGGUCAUUGCCCCUAAGUGUGCUCUGUCAGCGACUUAGACAAAUAAUGGUUUUAAGAGGUCAUUCUUUCAUUUCUCUCCUUUUCAGUUUGGUGAAGGAAUAUGGGUCUAGAAUGAAUCUUGAAAUCUUGAUCUUGCAUUUUGAAAACAAAAAUUAUUUCGAUGUGAGUCUAAAACAAUUUGCUUUUGAAAUCUUGCAACUCCUUGGUUAUUUUCUUUCUUGGAAAAGAGAUUAUUUGCUCUUGUGUUUGGCAAUGAGGUCUUCGGUAAAAAUACGUCAUGAGAUGACCUUUUGUUUUUAUAGGUUUUCAAAGUGGAGGGCUCGAGAAAAAGCUCGAGGUUUUGUAUGAGAAAAACUUGUCUCUUUUUUAACACUCAUUUUUAUCAGCAUGAAUAAUAAUGAGUAGUUUGUUCUUGAUAUCAUGAGUUUUAUGAAAAGUAUUCUUUGCAUUUUGAGAGCAUUGUUUAUUGUUCUAGGUUGCUUGCUUGCUUGAUUAGAAAGGACUUCUACAGGCACGUAACGUAGGCUGUGGUUUUUGGCUAUGAAAAAAAUGAUUCAUAAGGCUCAAAGAGUGUUUCAGGGUUUCAAAGAUUGAGGAUCACUAUCAACAGUUUAAUUCUUGAUGUCAUUCAUAUUUUCUUUUGCCGCUCUUUUUUGAUUUGCUGCUUUUUAUUUUUUUUAUUGCUUUGCUAGGACAUACUCAAUUUAUCUUGGAUGUCACUUUUUGUAGUCAUUUGAGCAUGCCCCCUAGCAUUUGAGUUUCUUGAGCUCUUAUGCCUUUUUGGCUUUCUCACGGCCUUUUCUCUUUUCUCAAUGAAAUUUUCUCUUGCCCCCUAGUGUGGAGUGUGAUCCUAAUCGGGAUUUAUUUCAUGAAAUAAAAAUUAUUCAGGCUAAAAAAGAGAUCGCAAGGGAUGUACUUAUUUCAGAAUGUGAAAGGAAUAACAAAGAUGACAUUUCCUCAUUUCAAGCACAAGUAGUUAAGAUCAAUAAACUGUGACCUCAUCCAGUAUGAUGGUUUGGUCUUUGCAAAGAUGCAUUUCAUGAAUCAUGAGCAACGAGUUCACUACAUACCAUUAUUCAUACAUUUAAAAACUCAUGAUUCAAAAGUCAUAGGGUAAGGGUGUUUAUUCACUUCUUUUUUUUUCUUUUUUUUUGGUUUAUAAUUUAGUCACCUUAAUGACAGAGUUGCUUGAUUCACUUGUCAUUCUACAAGUAGAAUGUCAAAAUAUCAUUUUUGAAUAAACCUCAAAUUAUUUUUUGAAAUCAAAAUGCCAGAUCAAUUUUUCAAAACUCCAAUAGGGGAACUAAUUUUGGUAAAAGAGAUGAAUUGCGUCUAUGAGACUACACGAGGCUUUAAAAGUGUAUUCGUGAGUUCUUAUAAGAAAACUCUCUUAAGAAGAUGAAUAAUGUUUGGUCGUAAACACAAUUGAAUGACAAACUCAUUAUUUCAUUGAAACUUUAGAAAAGAAGUUCAAUAACAAAGAACUUAUGCCAACAUCUUGGGCUAUGAAAAUUGGCUUGGUAACACAUAAAGGGGCUAAACAUUUAGCAAUCAUUGAUUGGAAUUUCUGGAAUCUUUCAAUCAUUCAUUCUCCUCAACAAGGGCAUCUUUUCAACAAUCAAUUGAAGUCAUAUGUAGAUCAUUCUCGACCUAAUAUCACCAUAGCUUUCUCUUCAAGAUAGUUGAUUUCUGGGAGUCGGCGUGAAGAAAUUAGCUAUAAGAACCAUAAAAGUCUUGGCCACCCCCUUCAGUGAACCCGUUCUUCUCAGUCGGGUUAGCAAUCUUACCUAACCCAAUGGCUUGUUCAAUCCUUUCAACUAUAACAACCAGGUCAGUGAAAUGUUGUGCAGAGCUUCUAACCAAGUAUUCAAAGUACGGAGCUUUAAAGCUGUUGGAAAAUAAACUGAUCAUCUCUUUUUCCAACAUAGGAGGGUUAACUUGUAUAGCUACCUCCCUCCAUCUUUGAGCGUAUUCCCUUAUGGACUCCUUGUUGUCCUUCUCCAUAGCUUGUAAGUUUAACCGAUCAGGGCCCACGUCUAUAUUAAACUUAUAUUGCCUCCUGAAGGCAUCAACUAAAUCCUUCCAUUUUUUAACCUUGGUAUUGUCCAACCGCAUAUACCAAGUGAGGGCAACAUCACUUAAGCUGUCUUGAAAGAAAUGAAUCAGCAGUUUCUCAUCAUCAACCACCUCAGCCAUUUUGUUGCAGUAUGCUUUGAGAUGAGUUAUAGGGCAUUGAGUUCCCGUAUAUUUGAUAAAUUUUGGCACUCUAAACUUUUUGAGAAUGACAACGUUAGGCACCAAACACAUCUCAGCAGCCUUUAUAGGAUCAUGUAGGCGAAUUCCCUCAAAUGCCCUCAUCCUUUGCUCUAGGGCAAUGAAUUUGUUCAGAUCAUCUUCUUUUACCAUCUUGCCUUUUUUAGAUUCCUUCUCGUUUGCUCCCGGAUUCUGUGGAGUGAAGGGAUUUACGAGCAUAGGUUCAGGCUGAGCUAUAUGUAUUGCUUUUUCGAAUUUGUCUCUCAAGGCCUGUUCGAGUAGACUAGUAAGCCUUGCGACUUCUUCUUUAAUAUUGUCCACCUCUUUUUUGUGUUGGGCUUUCAACUGGGCUCUUUCUUCGUUUUCCAUUUGUCUUUUUCUCAAAUGAUUGUUAUAGGUAGGUUUCAAUAGGGAACCUAUAAUUCAACCUGGGAAUGUAAAUCAUGCAAUUUAUGCAAAAAUGUUGAUUCAAUAAAAAAUGCGUAUGAAAUGCGGACUCGCCCUUCACGGGGUGACAAACUAAUAGGAAGAUCCUAAUUGUUGAGUGCAUCAAGGGGUUGGUCAUUAUCUAGUUUCAAAGGGUUUCUCGCAUGCUCAGUGAUCGUCCUUGAAAGGUCGAUAUGAGGCUUACAAGUAGUGUGAAAAUAGAGGCCCUGACUAAUAUCAGUUUGGCAUAUUAACCACUUCCAAGUAAACAAUCAAGCGAGAGCUGGAUGGUUUCACGAGUCUUACCCAAGCUAAAGCCGUUGGGGUACCGUUACUUCCCCACAUAUCCUAGAUUUUCAGGUGUGUGCUCUUAACGUGAUGCAUGACAAUAUAAACAUGGAUGCAUGCUAAAGCAAUAAAUGCAGGAAAAAUAAACAAAUAAACACAACAAACAAACAUUAUAGCAAUUGACAAACAAAAGGCAAAGCUUAGUCCAUUAGUCCCAAUGGAGUCGCCAUUCUGUCGCACCCGACAUCGCGGCGGCCUUAAAAAUAAUAUGGUGGAAUAGAAUGGAUUUCUGGCAUCCUGUUAUUUAAUGGGGAACAGUUUUGUUUAAGGAGUGGCCACCUAGUAUUAUGGUCACUAGGAACCCUAACUGGUCAACAGAGAUUCUAUGGUACGGGACUGGUUAUGCAAAAGAAAAGAUAUUAUCACCCUUUAAACGUCCUGCCUGAGGCAGGCUGCAUUGUUGGUUUUGUCAUAAAUUGCUAACAUUUUGUCGGUUUAUGCUAUGAUGGUUUGCGUGUAAUAUUCAUGACUUUGACGCCAGUGAAUAUUUAACUACGAAUAUUUCCAACUCUGGCGUUGGUAAAUAUUACGCAGCUAUAAAAAAAAUAAAUCUAAAUCAGUAUUUUUUAUUCCUGACUCUGGCGUCAGUGAAUAAACAAAUCAAAUAAAUUUAUUUUUUACGCAUACACAUUUUUUAUGUAACUAAAUAAAAGUAAAAUACAAUAAAAUAAAAUAAAUUUACAUCAGUAUCUUUAUUCCUGACUCUGGCGUCAGUGAAUAAACCAAUAAAUUUACUUUAUUUUAUUUUAUUUUUGCAUGCAUAUUUUUUAUUUUUAUGUAAUUUAAAUAAAAUACAAUGAAAUAAAUUUGAAUCAAUAUUUUUAUUCUGACUCUGACAUCAAUGAAUAAAAACAAUAAAUUCAUAUUUAUUUUUUAUUUAUACAUACACACAUCUUUGUUUUUUUGUUUUGUUUUUUUGGACUGGGCUGGACCCAGCCAGCCCGGCCCGGGUCACUGGCCCAAGCCAGUGACCCGGCUGGGCAAAAUGUGGAGCACGCGUGAAGUGAUUUCACGCGUGCAUUCACUGUGCGAAGGUAAUUAAAUUACCUUCGCACUGUGUUCUUUGAUCAUUUAAUUUCAAAGAACGCAAAGGGAUGAAGAGCUGGCGUACUGCUUCUGGAGUGGCGAAGAUGGCUGCAACGCUGGUGGUGACUUUCGCCUGCUUGAUACCUUUACUUCUGCCUUCCCUUUUUGCUCCUGUGCCCACGGUCUGCUUUCGUUUUCCAGCAGAUUUUGAGAUAAUGAAGGAACCGAGAACGAAGGUGCCGGCUUCUGUGGAUACUGAUUUUUGGGUCGUUUUCUGCAGGGAUGAAAGCAAUGGCAGAACCAAUUAUCCUCUCCGUGUUGUUCCUCUGCUUUUCUUUUGUUUCAAUUCGUGCUCUGCCUUCCCCUGUUUUCUGGUUUUUUUCUCUGGGUUUUGCUCCAGUUCUCUCCUCUGGUUCUGUUUUUUCCCCCCCUGGUUCUGUUUUUUUCGUCUAGGUUUAGCUUGAGUUUUUCCUCGGUUUCUCCUUCAAACCCCCCCUGCUUUUCUUCCUCUGUUUUCUGGGUUUUUCUUCUCUGGUUUUUCGUUCCCCCCCCCCCCCCCUCUCGCUCUGGGUUUUUCUUCCCCUUUUAUAGAGACCCAGCAGCUUGCCUCUAACCAGUCCUGCCUUUGCAGGACUGUUAUCUUCCACGAACGAGAUCGUGGGCAAGAGACGUGGUCCACGAUUGGAUCUGUUGCAGAUUUUCAGGUCUCCGGUUGAAUCGGGAUGAAGAAGAUCACACGACUGUUCCACCAGCAAUGGCGACGUUUCGGCUAAAAGACACAUUUUCAUUUUGACCCCUGCUUCUUUGGAAAUUCGGCAAUUGGAUCUCUAAGCAAUUAAAAAUUUAUUUUAAUUUUGCCCUUUUGGAUUAAUUUCAAUUAAAUCCCUAAAUUAUAACACUGUUUACAAAACAGUCCUUAAUUCCCGGAUUGUUCAAUUUGGCCUUUAAUUAAAUCUUUAACUUUUAAUUCUUUCAAAAUUGAUCAAUUAACUCUCAAAUUUUAUAAUUACAUCCCC